rnacentral:rRNA from 14 species
GGAGGCAUACGCUCUGAACUGAAACAUCUAAGUAGGAGCAGGAAGAGAAAACAAUAGUGAUUCCCUGAGUAGUGGCGAGCGAAAGGGGAGAAGCCCAAACCGGGCCCUACGGGGUUCGGGGUUGUAGGACCUGCGCGAGUUGUGUUAUUGGAAGUCGAAUGGGUCUGGAAAGCCCAGCCACAGACGGUGAUAGUCC